rnacentral:tRNA from 1 species
GGUGGCUCAGUUGUAGAGCACUUGCCUUGCAUGCAGAAGGCCCUGGGUUCGAUUCCUCAGCACCA